CGUUGGGACGGCCGUAGGUGUUUAUCUCCUCGACCUCCCCAGAAGUGGGAGGGGCUGCCGCUUUUGCUCUUUCUUUUAAAAAAAACCCAAACCCCGGCACAGAAUGUGCCAAGGAACCAAAAUUAUUCCACUGCCCCCCCGUUGGCACCGGAGACGGUGCCCUCGCGGGACGUGUGAUGCAUGAUAAUAUAUAAACGACUCUCGGCAACGGAUAUCUAGGCUCUUGCAUCGAUGAAGAACGUAGCGAAAUGCGAUACUUGGUGUGAAUUGCAGAAUCCCGUGAACCAUCGAGUUUUUGAACGCAAGUUGCGCCCAAAGCCAUUAGGUUGAGGGCACGUCUGCCUGGGCGUCACAUAUCGUUGCCCUGUGCCCCAUGCCUAUUGAUAGGCACCGUGCAGGGCGAAUGUUGGCUUCCCGUGAGCUCUUUUGCCUCACGGUUGGCUGAAAACUGAGUCCUUGGUAGGGUGUGUGCCAUGAUAGAUGGUGGUUGUGUGACCCACGAGACCGUUCAUGUGCAGCUCUACCAGAUUUGGCCUCUACGACCCACUUGCGUCCUUGGAUGCUCAUGA
rnacentral:rRNA from 1 species